ACCUGCGGAAGGAUCAU
rnacentral:ncRNA from 17 species